AAACCAAGUAGAAGCCUUUCAGUUGAGCUGUGCAGCCGUUCUGGAUGCCAGGAUGAAACCUGCUCUGCUCUGCAUGCUGGGCUUUUUCUUGCUCAGUUCUUUGCUUCAUGGACGUGCUGAUGCUGAUAAACCCAGAGCCACCC